UAGGGAAAUUGGCUGAUGUGAUUAUGGA
rnacentral:piRNA from 1 species